AGGAGGACAGGUAAGGCUCAGGUAAGGCUCAAGUCAACAGGUCUUUUAGGAGGAAAGGUAAGGCUCAGGUAAGGUUCAGGUCAACAGGUCUUUUAGGAGGACAGGUAAGGCUCAGGUAAGGCUCAGGUCAACAGGUCUUUUAGGAGGAAAGGUAAGGCUCAGGUAAGGCUCAGGUCAACAGGUCUUUUAGGAGGAAAGGUAAGGCUCAGGUAAGGCUCGUCAGGCUCUUUUAGGAGGAAAGGUAAGGCUCAGGUAAGGCUCAGGUCAACAGGUCUUUUAGGAGGAAAGGUAAGGCUCAGGUAAGGCUCAGGUCAACAGGUCUUUUAGGAGGACAGGUAAGGGUCAGGUAAGGCUCAGGUCAACAGGUCUUUUAGGAGGACAGGUAAGGCUCAGGUAAGGCUCAAGUCAACAGGUCUUUUAGGAGGAAAGGUAAGGCCAGGUAAGCACAGUCCCCAGGUGAGAAAAGUUACCUGCGAACACUAAUUAAGAUCAAAGCAAAUCCGGCUCUCGAGAGUAAAACUAAUUACAGGUGAGUCUUGGACAGGUGAGCAUAAGCCUGGUGUCAGUUAUCACUCUUUUUCGCCUUUGCAUAUUCCACAUAUUUCAAUUUCAAUAACUUUUUUAGGCCUAUUUGCGCCAUAUCACUAUAAGAGAAAUUUGGAUGUAGGUAUUUUUUUUUUAAUAACAAAGAAGACAGCUCAAGGGCACAAAAAAAAGCCCGCUACUCGCUGCUCCUAAAAGCCAUUAACGAGCGUAAAUGGUUCAUGGAAAGCUCGUAAGGAAUGGGAUCUGGCGAGGUGAUAGGAUUGGAACUGAUCAUGACCUGGGAGGGAGGGAGAUCUGGUAUUAUGCCGCUGAGAAACUACCAAUCGCUUGUCACAUAUAUUGCCCAAGUUACAUAUACAGGCCAGGGAAGCAAGCACCCGGUUCCCUGUUUUCGCCUGAUUUUGUAUAUUUCUAAUUAGUCUUCAACAUCAACGUGACUGAUUUAUCCUUUUUGGCAUGUUCUUCAAGGCGUGGUUGGCUUUGUUUAUUUUUUUAUGUUCUUCAAGGUGCAGUUAGCUGGCUUUGUUUAUUUUUUUAUGUUCUUCAAGGCAUAGUUAGCUGGCUUUGUUGAUUUUUUUAUGUUCUUCAAGGCAUAGUUAGCUGGCUUUGUUGAUUUUUUAUGUUCUUCAAGGCAUAGUUAGCUGGCUUUGUUGAUUUUUUAUGUUCUUCAAGGCAUAGUUAGCUGGCUUUGUUGAUUUUUUAUGUUCUUCAAGGUGUAGUUAGCUGGUUUUGUUGAUUUUUUUAUGUUCUUCAAGGCAUAGUUAGCUGGCUUUGUUGAUUUUUUUAUGUUCUUCAAGGCGUAGUUAGCUGGCUUUGUUGAUUUUUUAUGUUCUUCAAGGCAUAGUUAGCUGGCUUUGUUGAUUUUUUUAUGUUCUUCAAGGCGUAGUUAGCUGGCUUUGUUGAUUUUUUAUAUAACUUUUUAUGACCGAGCUUGUAAUAUGUCGACUUAUAGAACUGUGAAAAUCCAGCACUUCUAACUCCAUCUCAAGAAAGAAAUUAAAAGUCAAACUUCCCACAUAACUCUUCACCCUGGUCAAAUAACGUGGUACCACAUUUGGCACCAGUAACUGCAAAGUAACACGACAUUUUGCCUCUGCGUUACUAAAAUGUUACUAAAAUUCACCACUUUUGUUCAUGUAUUAAUAAAUGGAUUUUGUAUAUUUACCCUCCUACAAUUGAAGUAUAAUCUGACAUAAAAAAAAACUGAUCUGCUGACACGAACAGAAUCAUGUUGGUGAAUUUUAAGUGUGGUGCCGGAAAAGGAACCAAGUUAUUUGUUAUCGGGGAAAAAAAAAAAAAGUUAUUUAUCGCUGAGUGUUGCAAAUACUCAGAAAUCUUUCCCUAUGCAGUCGUCAAGUCCCUCCAGAGCCAACAGCACCUUCAUCAUGAGUUAGGUAACCGAGAGACACGCAUGCAGGUCCCAGGUGAAAGGAGCCGCUCGGAAGGCUGGUCCACACACGCAUUCACCAGCUAACUUAAUCAACCGACCGCAAACACGAAGCCAGAUUCACCAAGCCGUCUAAUAAUGAACAGAGUAAACAGUCAACUCCCAGAGGCAAUCAGUCCCGUCAACGCACAUAUGCAGGCUGUCACGUGUUACAGUCCAGAGGGUAAGCCGGGUAGUGAGGCGAGGCAGUCUUUGGUACAUAGUCUGGGAGCUUACAAACCCACUGUGAACCGUGAAACUAGCCCUUUAUCACUGAGGCUAGGUAAUGCAAUAACCUCCGCCAUUCAGCCACUCUCUCCUCUCCCGCGAACUGAACGAAAGGGAGGCGGCAGGUAAGGGAAGGUCCACAGGUAUAGCAAGCAACCCGUACACAUCUUCUCCUUCUGACCUGUAACGCUUUGUAUCGCUUCUCAGGUCCUCCUCCUCUCGUUCCUCCCUUCUUCUUUUUACCUUCCUUAUCAAUGUUACGUAAUUUUCUAAACUGAAAUAGUCGCUUAUCUUCACUUAUUCAGACCUUUGUGCACUUUUGUCCCAGCACUGCGCGAGGAGGAACACUUUUGCCAACUUUGCCAUCCUCCUCCAUUUCCUUUUUGUCCCCGUGCAAUCGCCCCGUUGUCCUCCUCUCGCCUCCCAGUCCACUCCUCUCUGCCUAUUACCAUCACUACCCCUGCCACUAACUCCCCGCUCUGUGCCUGUCAUAGUUCCUGCAUUCCACUAUUAGGUGUUCUACUGCUUCUAUCUCCACUCCUACACCUACAGUUCUGGUUUCCCCCGUCCCUGUUCCUGCCACCACCACAUUAACCACACAGGUGACCAGGUGUGGAGAUUAGCCCGCCUAACAACCCCACACACUAACCUUCAUGGUCCAGGGCGGCUGCGGGAUGAAUGUGGGUGGGGAUGGAAACAGGUGGACAGGUGGACACUGGGCAGGCAGGUAAGGGAGGGUUGCCAUGUUUUAAUUACUAGACUCGUUUUUUUCAUUAUCAUUAUUUAUUUAGUAUAUGAUUAAGCAAUACCUAAAGUGGAGAAAAAUAAAUCUUGCUGGGAAAUAGUUGCAUGGAGUUUGUGUUUUCUAGUGGGUCCAUUAAUUAAAAAUAGCUCAUUACCAAAUGGAUUUUUCAUGGCCAAAUUUGGGGCUAUCACACUGGGCAGGCGUUCCGUGGAUCUUCAGUCAAACCACGAUUUCCGCUGGCGUGGUUCUCAUAUUUCCGCGGUUUCCUGAUGUGUCCACGAUCUCCCAAAGCUACGGUAGAUUUCACUGAAGAACGACGGUAUUGCUCACCAUCAUCAUCAUCAGCAAUAACAAGAUACAAUUGAGAGCCACACUAGCAAAAAUCGACGUUUGACUGAAGAUCCACGGAGUCUGCCCAGUGUAAUAGCCCUUAAAUAGCAAAUGGCAACCCUGGUGAGCCCCACGGGUGAGCCUAUACGGGCCUAUGGGGUGUAUUUUAAGACACCAUCGCUUCUCACAUCAACUAUUUCUAAAGGUCAAAGAGGGGAUCAAUCGGGGUCUAAUGAGUGUUUUUUAAGGUUCAUGGCACAGAAGAAGGGUCAAACUACCACCAGGGUCAUAAAACUACCCCUGGAAAGCCCUACAGCUCCUACGAAAGCUAUGUCAAAUAUGUGAACUUGGGCGACGAAAUGUUUUAAAAUAUCCCGCCCACCCACAAGGUCCUCACGCGGGGGGGGGAGAGGGGGAAGGGUGGGAAUGAAAGUAUACGCCCCUGGAACAAGCUUCAAGCAUCCAUUAAAGUACUAUAAGCGUUACCCAAUACCCACCCAGCUCCCCCCCGGCCCUCGCCCCUCUCACGGUCCAUCGCGGGGGCCUGGGGGAGGGGGGGGAGACAGAGCGGGGGAUGGGGGCAAGUUUGGAAAGUUUCGUUUAGUCGGCGCAACAUCUGUGGUCAUACGCCGGAGAGAGACAGAAGGGGAAGGAAUUAUAGAUGGGAACAGGCCCCAGGGGACGGGACACAACCACGGGGGAUAGGGGUCGUUAAGGUUUUACGCCCCUGGGACAACCUUUAAGCACCCUCUAAAGUACUAAGGUUGGCAGGUGCCCGGCCGUCCACCCAAAUGGUCCACCCACGCCCACGGGGAGCUGAGAACGCGGCUGGGCGGGGAAGGGGGUGGGGGUAAAUGCAGUAAACACACAUAUACACACACUAAGGUUAUUAUAGCAGGUGAGGACAUAUAACCUCGCCCCCCGCCUACCCGCCCUUACUGUCAACACAUGAGGGGGCGGGGGGCAGGUAAGGGAAGGGGGCGUGGGGGAGGAACGAGAGAAGGAGGACCUAAGAAGCGAUACAAAGCGUUACAGGUCAAAAAAAGAAGGAGGCAGGUGAGGGGGCGUGGGGCAGGUGAGGGAAGGGGGCGUGGGGCAGGUAAGGGAACGGUGCGUGGGGCAGGUAAGGGAAGGGUGCGUGGGGAGGCAGGUGAGGGGGCGUGGGUCAGG